rnacentral:lncRNA from 1 species
UCUGUAAAAGAACUUUCCCCCUACUUUCCAUUUCCCUUUUCCUUUUUUCUUUUACUCUUCCUUGUUUCCUUCCUUCCUUCCUUCCUUGUUUCCUUCCUUUCUUCCUUGUUUCCUUCCUUCCUUCCUCCCUUCCUCCCUUCCUUCAAUUUUAUCUCUCUUCUGCUUUCUCUUUCUCUCUUUUCUCUCUCUCUCAGUCUCUCUUUUUUCUUUCUUUCUUUCUUUCUUUCUUUCUUUCUUUCUUUCUUUCUUUCUUUCUUUCUUUCUUUCUUUCUUUCUUUCUUUCUUUCUUUCUUUCUUUCUUUCUUUCUUUCUUUCUUUCUUUCUUUCUUUCUUUCUUUCUUUCUUUCUUUCUUUCUUUCUUUCUUUCUUUCUUCCUUUCUUUCUUUCUUUCUUUCUUUCUUCCUUUCUUCCUUUCUUUCUUUCUUCCUUUCUUUCUCUCUUCCUUUCUCUUUAUUCUUUCUCCUUUCCUCUCUUCCUUUCCUUUCUCUUUCAUUCUUUCUCCUAAUCCAUAAUAUUCCUGAAAUAGACUCUGCUGCUUACUCUCAGGAAAUAUCUUUCACAAUGUUGGAAGAAAGAAGAAGAAGAAGAAGAAGAAGAAGAAGAAGAAGAAGAAGAAGAAGAAGAAGAAGAAGAAGAAGAAGAAGAAGAAGAAGAAGAAGAAGAAGAAGAAGAAGAAGAAGAAGAAGAAGAAGAAGAAGAAGAAGAAGAAGAAGAAGAAGAAGAAGAAGAAGAAGAAGAAGAAGAAGAAGAAGAAGAAGAAGAAGAAGAAGAAGAAGAAGAAGAAGAAGAAGAAGAAGAAGAAGAAGAAGAAGAAGAAGAAGAAGAAGAAGAAGAAGAAGAAGAAGAAGAAGAAGAAGAAGAAGAAGAAGAAGAGGAGGAGGAGGAGGAGGAGGAGGAGGAGGAGGAGGAGGAGGAGAAAGAGAAGGAGGAAAAGGAAGAGGAGGAAGAAGAAAUAAACAGUGCUUCUUUGUUACCUUUGUGGCUGUGGGAAAACAUUCUAACC